rnacentral:rRNA from 1 species
GCUAUAAUGCAGUCGAACGCACAGCGAAAGGUGCUUGCACCUUUCAAGUGAGUGGCGAACGGGUGAGUAACACGUGGACAACCUGCCUCAAGGCUGGGGAUAACAUUUGGAAACAGAUGCUAAUACCGAAUAAAACUUAGUAUCGCAUGAUACCAGGUUAAAAGGCGCUACGGCGUCACCUAGAGAUGGAUCCGCGGUGCAUUAGUUAGUUGGUGGGGUAAAGGCCUACCAAGACAAUGAUGCAUAGCCGAGUUGAGAGACUGAUCGGCCACAUUGGGACUGAGACACGGCCCAAACUCCUACGGGAGGCUGCAGUAGGGAAUCUUCCACAAUGGGCGAAAGCCUGAUGGAGCAACGCCGCGUGUGUGAUGAAGGCUUUCGGGUCGUAAAGCACUGUUGUAUGGGAAGAAAAGUUAAGGUAGGGAAUGACCUUAGCCUGACGGUACCAUACCAGAAAGGGACGGCUAAAUACGUGCCAGCAGCCGCGGUAAUACGUAUGUCCCGAGCGUUAUCCGGAUUUAUUGGGCGUAAAGCGAGCGCAGACGGUUGGUUAAGUCUGAUGUGAAAGCCCGGAGCUCAACUCCGGAAAGGCAUUGGAAACUGGUUAACUUGAGUGCAGUAGAGGUAAGUGGAACUCCAUGUGUAGCGGUGGAAUGCGUAGAUAUAUGGAAGAACACCAGCGGCGAAGGCG